rnacentral:rRNA from 1 species
UACGUAGGGUGCAAGCGUUGUCCGGAAUUAUUGGGCGUAAAGAGCUCGUAGGCGGUCUGUCGCGUCUGCUGUGAAAACUCAGGGCUUAACCCUGAGCUUGCAGUGGGUACGGGCAGACUAGAGUGGCGGUAGGGGAGACUGGAAUUCCUGGUGUAGCGGUGAAAUGCGCAGAUAUCAGGAGGAACACCGGUGGCGAAGGC